rnacentral:rRNA from 1 species
AACGCCCGGUCCCAUACCGAACCCGGAAGCUCAGCCCUUCAGCGCCGAUGGUACUGCCCUGGAGACGGGGUGGGAGAGUAGGACGCCGCCGGAC